GACGAACGCUGGCGGCGUGCCUAAUACAUGCAAGUAGAACGCUGAAGAGAGGAGCUUGCUCUUCUUGGAUGAGUUGCGAACGGGUGAGUAACGCGUAGGUAACCUGCCUUGUAGCGGGGGAUAACUAUUGGAAACGAUAGCUAAUACCGCAUAACAAUGGAUGACACAUGUCAUUUAUUUGAAAGGGGCAAUUGCUCCACUACAAGAUGGACCUGCGUUGUAUUAGCUAGUAGGUGAGGUAACGGCUCACCUAGGCGACGAUACAUAGCCGACCUGAGAGGGUGAUCGGCCACACUGGGACUGAGACACGGCCCAGACUCCUACGGGAGGCAGCAGUAGGGAAUCUUCGGCAAUGGGGGCAACCCUGACCGAGCAACGCCGCGUGAGUGAAGAAGGUUUUCGGAUCGUAAAGCUCUGUUGUAAGUCAAGAACGAGUGUGAGAGUGGAAAGUUCACACUGUGACGGUAGCUUACCAGAAAGGGACGGCUAACUACGUGCCAGCAGCCGCGGUAAUACGUAGGUCCCGAGCGUUGUCCGGAUUUAUUGGGCGUAAAGCGAGCGCAGGCGGUUUGAUAAGUCUGAAGUUAAAGGCUAUGGCUCAACCAUAGUUCGCUUUGGAAACUGUCAAACUUGAGUGCAGAAGGGGAGAGUGGAAUUCCAUGUGUAGCGGUGAAAUGCGUAGAUAUAUGGAGGAACACCGGUGGCGAAAGCGGCUCUCUGGUCUGUAACUGACGCUGAGGCUCGAAAGUGUGGGGAGCGAACAGGAUUAGAUACCCUGGUAGUCCACGCCGUAAACGAUGAGUGCUAGGUGUUGGAUCCUUUCCGGGAUUCAGUGCCGCAGCUAACGCAUUAAGCACUCCGCCUGGGGAGUACGACCGCAAGGUUGAAACUCAAAGGAAUUGACGGGGGCCCGCACAAGCGGUGGAGCAUGUGGUUUAAUUCGAAGCAACGCGAAGAACCUUACCAGGUCUUGACAUCCCGAUGCUAUUUCUAGAGAUAGAAAGUUACUUCGGUACAUCGGUGACAGGUGGUGCAUGGUUGUCGUCAGCUCGUGUCGUGAGAUGUUGGGUUAAGUCCCGCAACGAGCGCAACCCCUAUUGUUAGUUGCCAUCAUUCAGUUGGGCACUCUAGCGAGACUGCCGGUAAUAAACCGGAGGAAGGUGGGGAUGACGUCAAAUCAUCAUGCCCCUUAUGACCUGGGCUACACACGUGCUACAAUGGUUGGUACAACGAGUUGCGAGUCGGUGACGGCAAGCUAAUCUCUUAAAGCCAAUCUCAGUUCGGAUUGUAGGCUGCAACUCGCCUACAUGAAGUCGGAAUCGCUAGUAAUCGCGGAUCAGCACGCCGCGGUGAAUACGUUCCCGGGCCU
rnacentral:rRNA from 1 species